AAUAUACUCCCUCUGUUUCAAAUUACUCGUCACAGAAAUGAAUGUAUCUAAAACUAAAAUACAUCUAGAUACAUCCAUACCUGCGACAAGUAAUUCGAAACAGAGGGAGUAGGUU
rnacentral:pre_miRNA from 1 species